CCUACGGGCGGCUGCAGUAAGGAAUAUUGGUCAAUGGACGCAAGUCUGAACCAGCCAUGCCGCGUGGAGGAUGAAGGUCCUCUGGAUUGUAAACUUCUUUUAUUUGGGAAGAAACUCCCGAUUUCCAUCGGGAUUGACGGUCCCAGAUGAAUAAGCACCGGCUAACUCCGUGCCAGCAGCCGAGGUAAUACGGAGGGUGCAAGCUUCAUCCGGAUUAAAGGGUUUUAAGGUGGGCAUGGAAGUCCGUGGUGAAAUCUCCGGGCUUAACCCGGAAACUGCCAUUGAUACUAUGUGUCUUGAAUACUCUGGAGGUGAGCGGAAUAUGUCAUGUAGCGGUGAAAUGCUUAGAUAUGACAUAGAACACCCAUUGCGAAGGCAGCUCACUACGGAAAUAUUGACGCUGAGGCACGAAAGCGUGGGGAUCAAACAGGAUUAGAUACCCUGGUAGUC
rnacentral:rRNA from 1 species